ensembl:lncRNA
CUCAUUAAGUGCAGAUGGUUUAAAUAAUUCAUGCACUCCUGGGUUUGAUGGUUGUCGUCCUCCUCCACCGUACAGCUAUGCAAAUCACAGACAGCAGCAGUAUGUCAGAACGACCACAAUGGUCUCGUCUAAUCAAUCUAAUAUUCAACCUGGGACUUCGGCUACCCGUAAAAAUUAUAGUAACUUGAAUUCCAUCAAGUUAUUACCCGGGCAUUCUGGACAGUCUUUACCUCAAAGCACUCAAAAUGUAAUGUCAAGAACACAGCACGCUGUAAGUACACCCCAUCAGCAAACCUGUGUACCUAACGGUUUCCACAAAUCUGCUGCAGGAAAUGAAAGAAGCCCAAGUAACGAAAUUCAUCCUAAAAAGAACUGUAGCUUAAUUGAAUUGUUGCUUUGUUCAUCCCUGCUGCCGGAAUCUGUUGACCGCAAGACACAAUCAUCAGUAGCAAGCAGUUUUGAGAUGCUGUCAUCAGUCCAGUUAAAUGACAGCUCCAUUCACUCAUCACCUGGAAAUGCCAGCACCAAAGCUAUUGCUGUUGUACAACCACUGCCAUCACUGGAAGGUCAGCUUCACAAUGACCAUGCUUCUUCUGAUUCCACAGCAGGAGACUCUUUAAACAACCCUAAGGAAACUUUUGUUUUAGAUACCACAGCAAUUAACAAAACGCUGCCAUCUUCAGAGUCAGGGACACAAAACACAGGAAAACAACCUGAACUGGAUGUUAAUGUUCAAAAUUCAAUUCCAUCCCAAGAAUCAGUAUGCCAAAAUUCUCCUGAAGACCAAAGUGGGAUCCAGACACUUUCAACAUCACCCGUUUCUGAUCUUUCCGCACUCCCAACAUCCCCAUGGACAUUAUUGGCACUAACGAAGUUGAUAAAAGAUGCAGAAAAGAAUCAGAAAGAGCUCAGCGAUUUGAAAGAAUUACACACUGCACAAAAAAUUAUAGACCUGUUUUGGGAGGGAAAACUUGAAACACUGCAAAUGUACUCAUGCAAGGUAGAUGGCAAUUUUGAGGAGCAAAUGGAAAGCUACCAUGUCCUCAAAGACAAUGAAGUAUUUUCAGAAUUGCCUUACAAAUCAUCAUGGUUAAAUCUAAAUGAGCAGUUGGAUGAAAUAGACAAAGAAUUUGGUUUCCCAUUGUCUCUGAAACAUCACACUUCAUUGCUUGAGAGUGAUGGCCAGAAAGAUCAGAUGCACAUCAACAACAGUGAUCCUGCAAUUAUGAGUAAAGUGCCAAGCAAGAUCUUGCCAUCAACACAUUUUGAACCCGUUGAUUCAAAUGAAGGAAAAGAAGCCACCACACUCAAACCCCCCUCCAUUCAAACUCCCUCCUCUAAUCAGACAGAUGAUGCCAGUGACCCAUGUUUGUCCCUGAAAAUCCAAGUUAUGCCUCCAGAAGAAGCCAAACGUUACCAUGAGCAAAGCGAAAAUGAGAUGCCACAAAGUAUGGAUGCAGAGAGGGUCGUAAGUAGUUCCACGGAGAGUGAGACACCUGAUAAUACAGAGUCCACAUCGUGGGAAUCAAAAUUGGAAACUGUGGAAAUUGGCAUAAGUCAGUCGCUUUGCUGUCUUACAAAGCUGUUGAAAAUGACUAUAGGAUCAAGUACAUCUUAUGAUUGUAAAUGCCACAGCCAGAAAGAACAAAAGUUUGGAAAAGGGUUAAAAAAUACCAGUGAUAGUGGCGAAACAGUUGUACUAAAGCACAAUAACCAGCUUGGGAAGGAUCCAGUAAAGGACAAGGAGAACACUGAUGAUCAAGUUGUGACAUUUAGUGGUUCUGAGCUUUGCAGCUUUCUUGGUCAAACCAUAGAUUUGACUGAAGUUGAUGACCAACCUCAAUUGCCUUCUGAACAAAAUUCUAAGAACCACUCCAAAAUAGCCAAUACCAGUCAUUCAGGUAUUAUAAUUAUAAGUGAUGAAGAUGAAGAUCUCUCCAGUGGUGAAAAUGAAAUUCUUAGCCAGAAGACAGAUCUUGCCAUAAAGAUGUCUGAACCUUACGAUAAGUGUGGACAAGAACAACCAACGUCUACAGCAUCGAGUCUGUCAGGUGCCUCAGUCAGUACUAACAAAGCUGAAACUGAAAAGUUCUGCAGCACUGAGACUGAGAUUGCCAUCCAGAUCCUGGAUCAUGACAGGAGUUGUGAAGAAGCUUUAGAUGUGCCAGUGUCACCUUUGGAAACCAAAGAGCAAUCUCAAAUCUGUGCUGAAGGUGACUUUAAAGUAUCUGUCAAGCAUAAAAAAAUCAAAAGAAAACACAAGAGACUCGAAUGGGAUGAUGAAUUUGGUCCACCCCAAAAGGAAUCAAAGAAAUGCAACUUGCCUGUUGAUCUUAAUUUAGAAAAUGCCCUUGAUGAUGUUUCAAAAUGUGAAAAGGAGCCUGCUGUUGAAGCUGAAGCUCUCAAUAUAGACUCAAAAAGAACUGCAGAACUGGUGCUGUUUGGCUCAGCUCAACAAGACAAGUGUGCUUUAACUGGCAGCAGAAAAGCCCAUUUCCGUUUUGUAAAGGGUGCAUCUAAGGCAGCACACCUGAGGCCUCCAGAAGUUCUUACUGUCAAUCUCAACCCUUUGAGUAGCAAGUCCAGUGACAUGGUGUACAAGAGGAAUUAUUCAGUAAAACAGCUAAUUCAUGACAAAUGGUGGAGAAGUUUUCAACAGACUAAAGCUAGUCACAAAAAAACCCGUAAACAUCGUUCUUACUCUGUUGCCGGGGGUAUCUUGAUGAAACGAGAUGGAAUUAAGGAAUCCCGGAGUCUGAAGACGCUUGGAGAGGAGAAGAAGGAUAUCACUGCUGAUAAUAAGAGGUGUUCCUCUAAAAGUGAAAGCCAAAAUGUCAAACCUUGCCAGGAGCACAUAGUCUUGAGGUUCAGUGUUCUACCCAGUAACUUUGACCUCAAAGAUGGAUCCAGUGGCAGGAAGCAAUCCACCAAUCCCAUUUCAGAAGAGCCAGAGAAAGAGCAGAGCGCUGCUACAGCUGCUGCAAAACCGAAAGGUAAAUGGAGUUCGAGUCUGCAGAAGAAUCGACCUCGACCUAUUCCCAAGACCUUCAGUCUCUUCCACGAGUAUCAGAAGAAAUACAAGGAGCGCUCUCACUCAAAAGAUUAAUAAUGUGAAAGAUGUCUCUUCUCAGGGAAUACUUUUUUUUUUUUUUUUUUUUCCAUUUAAGACAUUUAGUACAAAGAUUCUGACUAAAAUUAUGCCUUUGUGUUUUUUUCUGCAGUGUAUAUACAAGCAAUACAUUAAGGCUGUGCAACCUUUUGUUGUUUACAUGCCUGUAAAAAGCAUUACAGUCAUGGAGCAGGUGUAGUUACUGACUUGUGGGAUGUGGGAACUUGGCAGCCUUUACAAAUUUGUUCAAGUGAUGACAUUCUGUUCGUCAUUGAUUAUUAUUGUGUCACUGCUCCUUGUCGGUUCACCACUGUACUCGCGACAGACAUGAAAGGAAUACAUGGUAUUUGCUGUCGGUGCAGUUCUGUUUAAUGAGCUGAGAAGCUCUGAAGAUGCAUGACACUGCAUAGUUUGUCUUGUGUCUGUGCAUCAGAGAGUGCAUGCAGACUUUAGAUGGUAAGUCCACAUGUUCAGAGCCAUGUUCAAAUUAACAAGUGAUAUCCAUGAAAGGGGGUGUAAGUCUAAAAUCUUUGUUGUUGUUUUUUUGACAAAAAACUUGACUUGUAACAUUUGCAUUGUGAGUUUUUUACUGUUUUUCUACACUUUCAGUAUUUGUACUCUAACCAUUUUUUAAAAUUUUUUUAUUAUUGUUUCUACGAUUAAAUUAUCCAUUUUUAAUGUGGUUUUGUCUUUGUCUAAACUAAUAGUAGGUAUUAUAAUUGAUUUAUAAGCUGCAAUAGUUGUUUAGCAUUAAAGGGAAAUGGCGUAGUUCCUGGAAAUAAUCUGAAACAAACCCAAAUUACAGGAAGGUGAAAUGCCCAUUAACGGUUUUAUUCUGCUCCUUGCAACGAUCCUCUUUGUUGAUCUUAUUGUAUUGUUUGAUAUCAAAUCAAAAAUGUUUAUGC